AGCGGGGCUAGGUCGGCCAACCGAAAAGCGGGAAACCCUACCCGCCUGUCUCGCUAAACUUUAAUAUAGGG
rnacentral:sRNA from 18 species